UCCUCAAUGUUUCCUCCUCACGCAUCAGAGCUACAGGUCAGUGCUGUCACCACGGGCAGAUCAGUUGAAGAACAUAAGACUUUUCCCAUGUUUCCCUACUGGUUUCUUAUGGCCUUCCUGGCCCCUAUAGGCUGGGCUCUUCAGCAAAGCCCAGACUCAGUUGUCCGACUGGGAGACUCUCUGACUCUCAACUGUUCACACAAGGAGAGUGGGAUCUGGACCAUGUACUGGUACAAGCUGCCAGUGGGGAAGAACGCCUCUUUGCAGCUGGUUGUAUUUUCAGUUGAAGGCACCAAGGCAGAGUUUGAGGAGGAAUUCAGAAGCCGCUUCCAGAGCAGUGGCACCAAGGCGAACUCCUUAUCAGUGACGAUAGAUCAUGUUGAACUCAGUGACUCAGGCACUUAUUUCUGCGCUAAGCAAGAUACACUGUGACACGAAGGCUGGCGCAGCAGAGCGCAAACCUCCCUCCUUACAAGUGGAGACCUGCCACCAGCACACACAGUUCACUGUGUACCAGUGAAACUAUUUCUUCACUUUUGGCCUCCAGCUCUGUCCCCUUAGGAAAAGUAGUGGUUUCCUGUCUGUGUCUUCUGCUUCUUCUCUGCUUUUUUUCCUUUCCUGUCUCCGAACAGAUUUUGAUCCU